rnacentral:rRNA from 1 species
UACGGAGGAUCCGAGCGUUAUCCGGAUUUAUUGGGUUUAAAGGGUGCGUAGGCGGUUUGAUAAGUUAGAGGUGAAAUGUCGGGGCUCAACCCCGAAACUGCCUCUAAUACUGUUGGACUAGAGAAUAGUUGCGGUAGGCGGAAUGUAUGGUGUAGCGGUGAAAUGCUUAGAGAUCAUACAGAACAUCGAUUGCGAAGGCAGCUUACCAAACUAUAUCUGACGUUGAGGCACGAAAGCGUGGGUAGCAAACAGG